GAUGAACGCUGGCGGCGUGCCUAAUACAUGCAAGUCGAGCGAACAGACGAGGAGCUUGCUCCUUUGACGUUAGCGGCGGACGGGUGAGUAACACGUGGGUAACCUACCUAUAAGACUGGGAUAACUUCGGGAAACCGGAGCUAAUACCGGAUAAUAUUUCGAACCGCAUGGUUCGAUAGUGAAAGAUGGCUUUGCUAUCACUUAUAGAUGGACCUGCGCCGUAUUAGCUAGUUGGUAAGGUAACGGCUUACCAAGGCAACGAUACGUAGCCGACCUGAGAGGGUGAUCGGCCACACUGGAACUGAGACACGGUCCAGACUCCUACGGGAGGCAGCAGUAGGGAAUCUUCCGCAAUGGGCGAAAGCCUGACGGAGCAACGCCGCGUGAGUGAUGAAGGUCUUCGGAUCGUAAAACUCUGUUAUUAGGGAAGAACAAACGUGUAAGUAACUGUGCACGUCUUGACGGUACCUAAUCAGAAAGCCACGGCUAACUACGUGCCAGCAGCCGCGGUAAUACGUAGGUGGCAAGCGUUAUCCGGAAUUAUUGGGCGUAAAGCGCGCGUAGGCGGUUUUUUAAGUCUGAUGUGAAAGCCCACGGCUCAACCGUGGAGGGUCAUUGGAAACUGGAAAACUUGAGUGCAGAAGAGGAAAGUGGAAUUCCAUGUGUAGCGGUGAAAUGCGCAGAGAUAUGGAGGAACACCAGUGGCGAAGGCGACUUUCUGGCCUGUAACUGACGCUGAUGUGCGAAAGCGUGGGGAUCAAACAGGAUUAGAUACCCUGGUAGUCCACGCCGUAAACGAUGAGUGCUAAGUGUUAGGGGGUUUCCGCCCCUUAGUGCUGCAGCUAACGCAUUAAGCACUCCGCCUGGGGAGUACGACCGCAAGGUUGAAACUCAAAGGAAUUGACGGGGACCCGCACAAGCGGUGGAGCAUGUGGUUUAAUUCGAAGCAACGCGAAGAACCUUACCAAAUCUUGACAUCCUUUGACCCUUCUAGAGAUAGAAGUUUCCCCUUCGGGGGACAAAGUGACAGGUGGUGCAUGGUUGUCGUCAGCUCGUGUCGUGAGAUGUUGGGUUAAGUCCCGCAACGAGCGCAACCCUUAAGCUUAGUUGCCAUCAUUAAGUUGGGCACUCUAAGUUGACUGCCGGUGACAAACCGGAGGAAGGUGGGGAUGACGUCAAAUCAUCAUGCCCCUUAUGAUUUGGGCUUCACACGUGCUACAAUGGACAAUACAAAGGGCAGCGAAACCGCGAGGUCAAGCAAAUCCCAUAAAGUUGUUCUCAGUUCGGAUUGUAGUCUGCAACUCGACUACAUGAAGCUGGAAUCGCUAGUAAUCGUAGAUCAGCAUGCUACGGUGAAUACGUUCCCGGGUCU
rnacentral:rRNA from 1 species